rnacentral:rRNA from 1 species
AUUGAACGCUGGCGGCAGGCUUAACACAUGCAAGUCGAGCGGGGUGAUGGUGCUUGCACUAUCACUUAGCGGCGGACGGGUGAGUAAUGCUUAGGAAUCUGCCUAUUAGUGGGGGACAACAUCUCGAAAGGGAUGCUAAUACCGCAUACGUCCUACGGGAGAAAGCAGGGGAUCACUUGUGACCUUGCGCUAAUAGAUGAGCCUAAGUCGGAUUAGCUAGUUGGUGGGGUAAAGGCCUACCAAGGCGACGAUCUGUAGCGGGUCUGAGAGGAUGAUCCGCCACACUGGGACUGAGACACGGCCCAGACUCCUGCGGGGGGCAGCAGUGGGGAAUAUUGGACAAUGGGGGGAACCCUGAUCCAGCCAUGCCGGGUGUGUGAAGAAGGCCUUAUGGUUGUAAAGCACUUUAAGCGAGGAGGAGGCUCUUUUGGUUAAUACCCAAGAUGAGUGGACGUUACUCGCAGAAUAAGCACCGGCUAACUCUGUGCCAGCAGCCGCCGUAA